AAAGGAAUAGACGGGGACCCGCACAAGCGGUGGAUGAUGUGGUUUAAUUCGAUGCAACGCGAAAAACCUUACCUACCCUUGACAUGUCAGGAAUUGCACUGAGAGGUGUGAGUGCUCGCAAGAGAACCUGAACACAGGUGCUGCAUGGCUGUCGUCAGCUCGUGUCGUGAGAUGUUGGGUUAAGUCCCGCAACGAGCGCAACCCUUGUCAUUAGUUGCUACAUUUAGUUGGGCACUCUAAUGAGACUGCCGGUGACAAACCGGAGGAAGGUGGGGAUGACGUCAAGUCCUCAUGGCCCUUAUGGGUAGGGCUACACACGUCAUACAAUGGCCGGUACAGAGGGACGCCAACCCGCGAGGGGGAGCCAAUCCUGUAAAGCCGGUCGUAGUCCGGAUUGCAGUCUGCAACUCGACUGCAUGAAGUCGGAAUCGCUAGUAAUCGUGGAUCAGCAUGUCACGGUGAAUACGUUCCCGGGUCUUGCACACACCGCCCGU
rnacentral:rRNA from 1 species